AGAUUAUUCACUUGAAAAUGAUCAUCAUGACUAAGAAUAAAGUACUUCUAGGCUGCUUGGAGAUGUGUACAGCAUGUUUGACUGUUUUUGGGGAACCGGUGUUACAUGAAGGUGCUGUUAACACUGGGAGUAGUGCUUUCUCUUAUUGAGCUCAGAACAAGGGAAAAAGAGUCAGCUGUAAUUAAGAAGCAAAGACUAAAUCUCAAUCCUCUGGGCGCUGACGGCAGUGUCUGAGGUAGCAGUCUGAAGUAUUCGUGCAUGACUGAAGAAACCUUAUGAUGGGGAAAGAUUUGAAGGCAGGGGGCAGUGGAUAAGUUCACGGGACUGGAUAGUGAUUGACUUUUGGGUGGCCUUCCUCAAAGCAUGGUCUGAAGACCACUGCAUCAGGAUCACCAGAGCCUCUUGUUGAAAAU